CUGUCCCAGGGAGAAGCAAAACUGAGAGACAUACACAGAGAGAAAUUCACGAGCAAGAAUUCAGAUAGAUUCAUCCCUGAAGGAAUAGAAUUCUCCAGUCCUAAUGGCAGCAGCUCCAUUUGCUUCUCCACCAUUCCAGUCUCUGACCUUGGAAGAUGAGGAGCCACAUUGUUUGGACGAAUAUGACGUAUACAACUUUACAGAUUCUUAUCUGGGAAGAGGGAGUGGGAAGGGUCGGAGUAAGAGAGAAGCCGCCAACCAUACUAACCGACCCAGCCCAGGAGGCCACGAGAGGAAGCUGCUGAUCAAACUUCAGAACACAGAACAAAAGAAACGGGGUGCCAGGCCCUGAGCCUAGAACCUUGAGGCUGGGCCAGAGUAUAGAUAACAGGAUCACGGCUAUGGACCUAGGGCUUCGAAGACAGGGCAAGAGAGAUAGGAUCUUAAAUUUUCCCUGACUGCCUUCUCUCAAGAAAUGCUCCUUCCCCAACUGGCUGGAGUUUGGAGGGGCCCAGCAAGUGAUUUCCUUUAGCACUUGAAGAAGAGAUGAAGAGGAACAAAUGGUAGGAGUGAAUGAGCUGAAAAGAAUAGCGGGAAAGAGAGAAUCUACUUGAAGAAAUUGAAUCUAUCAAAAGAAAAUGGUUACAAUAAAGAAUCAAUGAAAAGAG